UACGUAGGUGGCAAGCGUUGUCCGGAUUUACUGGGUGUAAAGGGAGCGCAGGCGGCCUGGCAAGCCUGAUGUGAAAUACCGGGGCCCAACCCCGGGGCUGCAUUGGGAACUGCCAGGCUGGAGUGCCGGAGAGGCAGGCGGAGUUCCUAGUGUAGCGGUGAAAUGCGUAGAUAUUAGGAGGAACACCAGUGGCGAAGGCGGCCUGCUGGACGGUGACUGACGCUGAGGCUCGAAAGCGUGGGGAGCAAACAGG
rnacentral:rRNA from 1 species